UACAGAGGUCUCAAGCGUUGUUCGGAUUCAUUGGGCGUAAAGGGUGCGUAGGUGGCGCCGUAAGUCGAGUGUGAAAUUUCGGAGCUUAACUCCGAAACUGCAUUCGAUACUGCGGUGCUUGAGGACUGGAGAGGAGACUGGAAUUCAUGGUGUAGCAGUGAAAUGCGUAGAGAUCAUGAGGAAGACCAGUGGCGAAGGCGGGUCUCUGGACAGUUCCUGACACUGAGGCACGAAGGCCAGGGGAGCAAACGGG
rnacentral:rRNA from 1 species